UCUCCCAUCCUCCUUCUUAUCUCUUUCACCUUCUCUCUCUAGAACCUAUUGUGAGGGGAUUUGAAAGAGAGGGUUUGUAAAGUUGGGGUUUUGGUUGUGAGGAAGUUCAAGAGCAAGGCUACUCUGGUGGAGAGGAAACCUGAGGAAAGUUCGACGCGUUGGGAAGCACGAAUCGACGUUCCAACUAGCCUACGGCAAGCUAGUGAGGAAAAACCUCAUUUUGGCUUCAUUUGUCGCGAGCGAGGAGUGUGAUCAUUCAUAAAUCGCGAGAGGUAGUUUUCUCGCAGUCCGGCAUCCCUUAGAGGUUCUAGCGCGUGCGGGGUGCUAGAGGAUCGUGACCUGGACAGCGCUCAAUAGAUAGCAGACAUCCAUUGAGUAUAGUUGUACCCUGUACAUUUCAUCUAUUUAUAGUUGAUGAAAGAAAAAUGUAAAAUUAUUCGUUUGAGAGAUGGCAAAUGUAUAUGUUGAGAAUGUAUGUAUGUAAUAACAAUGCAAGCUUUGUAUUUGAUUUAAAA